AGCGAACGCUGGCGGCGUGCUUAACACAUGCAAGUCGAGUGCGCGGUUCGUAGCAAUACGAACUGGCGCACGGCGCACGGGUGAGGAACACGUGGGCAACAUGCCCUCCGAUGGGGAAUAACCCGCCGAAAGGCGGGCUAAUACCGCAUACGAUUCCGGGGACCUCGGUUCCUGGACUGAAAGCCCGCAAGGGCGUCGGUGGAGUGGCCCGCGGCCGAUUAGCUUGUUGGCGGGGUAACGGCCCACCAAGGC
rnacentral:rRNA from 1 species